rnacentral:rRNA from 1 species
CCUACGGGAGGCAGCAGUAGGGAAUAUUGCUCAAUGGGGGAAACCCUGAAGCAGCAACGCCGCGUGGAGGAUGAAGGUUUUCGGAUUGUAAACUCCUUUUGUUAGAGACGAUAAUGACGGUAUCUAACGAAUAAGCACCGGCUAACUCCGUGCCAGCAGCCGCGGUAAUACGGAGGGUGCAAGCGUUACUCGGAAUAACUGGGCGUAAAGGGCGCGUAGGCGGGAAAGCAAGUCAGAUGUGAAAUCCUAGGGCUUAACCAUAGUACUGCAUUUGAAACUGUUAUUCUAGAGUAUGGGAGAGGUAGGUGGAAUUCCUGGUGUAGCGGUAAAAUGCGUAGAGAUCAAGAGGAAUACUGAUGGCGAAGGCGGCCUGCUGGGACUUUACUGACGCUGAUGCGCGAAAGCGUGGGGAGCAAACAGGAUUAGAUACCCCAGUAGUC